rnacentral:rRNA from 1 species
UACGUAGGGUGCAAGCGUUAAUCGGAAUUACUGGGCGUAAAGCGUGCGCAGGCGGUUUUGUAAGUCUGACGUGAAAUCCCCGGGCUCAACCUGGGAAUUGCGUUGGAGACUGCAAGGCUAGAAUCUGGCAGAGGGGGGUAGAAUUCCGACGUGUAGCAGUGAAAUGCGUAGAGAUGUGGAGGAACACCGAUGGCGAAGGCAGUGUCCUGGG